GACGAAGGUGGCGAGCGUUGUUCGGAAUCACUGGGCAUAAAGCGCACGUAGGCGGCGGCGUAAGUUGGAUGUGAAAUCCCCCGGCCCAACCGGGGAACUGCGUCCAGUACUGCGUUGCUUGAGGAUCCAAGGGGUGCAUGGAAUUUCCGGUGUAGCGGUGAAAUGCGUAGAUAUCGGAAGGAACACCUGUGGCGAAAGCGGCUCACUGGACCAUAACUGACGCUGAUGCGCGAAAGCUAGGGGAGCAAACAGG
rnacentral:rRNA from 1 species